rnacentral:rRNA from 1 species
CUUCCUACGGGGCGCAGCAGUGAGGAAUAUUGGUCAAUGGGCGAGAGCCUGAACCAGCCAAGUCGCGUGAGGGAAGACGGUCCUAUGGAUUGUAAACCUCUUUUGCCGGGGAGCAAAAAGCGGUACGUGUACCGCAUCGAGAGUACCCGGAGAAAAAGCAUCGGCUAACUCCGUGCCAGCAGCCGCGGUAAUACGGAGGAUGCGAGCGUUAUCCGGAUUUAUUGGGUUUAAAGGGCGCGUAGGCGGGAAUGCAAGUCAGAAGUGAAAACUAUGGGCUUAACCCAUAGCCUGCUUUUGAAACUGUU